UACGAAGGGGGCUAGCGUUGCUCGGAAUCACUGGGCGUAAAGCGCACGUAGGCGGUUCGGAAAGUCCCAUGUGAAAUCCCACAGCUUAACUGUGGAAGUGCAUGGGAAACCUCCGGACUUGAGUACGAAAGAGGAUCGCGGAAUUCCCGGUGUAGAGGUGAAAUUCGUAGAUAUCGGGAGGAACACCAGUGGCGAAGGCGGCGAUCUGGGUCGAUACUGACGCUGAGGUGCGAAAGCGUGGGGAGCAAACAGG
rnacentral:rRNA from 1 species